AAGCUUGCUUCUCUGAUGUUAGCGGCGGACGGGUGAGUAACACGUGGAUAACCUACCUAUAAGACUGGGAUAACUUCGGGAAACCGGAGCUAAUACCGGAUAAUAUUUUGAACCGCAUGGUUCAAAAGUGAAAGACGGUCUUGCUGUCACUUAUAGAUGGAUCCGCGCUGCAUUAGCUAGUUGGUAAGGUAACGGCUUACCAAGGCAACGAUGCAUAGCCGACCUGAGAGGGUGAUCGGCCACACUGGAACUGAGACACGGUCCAGACUCCUACGGGAGGCAGCAGUAGGGAAUCUUCCGCAAUGGGCGAAAGCCUGACGGAGCAACGCCGCGUGAGUGAUGAAGGUCUUC
rnacentral:rRNA from 1 species